ACCUUCUCUUCCAAUCACUUUCUCUUCCAAUCACCUUCUCUUCCUAUCACUUUCUCUUACAAUCACCUUCUCUUCCUAUCACCUUCUCUUCCAAUCACCUUCUCUUCCAAUCACCUUCCAAACACCUUCUCUUCCAAUCACGUUAUCUUCCAAACACUUUCUCUUCCUAUCACUUUCUCUUCCAAUCACCUUCUCUUCCAAUCACCUUCUCUUCCAAUCACCUUCUCUUCCAAUCACUUUCUCUUCCAAUCAAGUUCUCUUCCAAUCACCUUCUCUUCCAAUCACCUUCUCUUCCAAUCACCUUCUCUUCCAAUCACCUUCUCUUCCAAUCACCUUCCAAACACCUUCUCUUCCAAUCACGUUAUCUUCCAAACACUUUCUCUUCCAAUCACUUUCUCUUUCAAUCACCUUCUCUUCCAAUCACUUUCUCUUCCAAUCACCUUCUCUUCCUAUCACUUUCUCUUCCAAUCACCUUCUCUUCCUAUCACCUUCUCUUCCAAUCACCUUCUCUUCCAAUCACCUUCCAAACACCUUCUCUUCCAAUCACGUUAUCUUCCAAACACUUUCUCUUCCAAUCACCUUCUCUUCCAAUCACUUUCUCUUCCAAUCACCUUCUCUUCCAAUCACUUUCUCUUCC